AAUUAAAAUGCGGGGAGCUAUCGUGGCUGAGAGGAAGUUUAACUUCGACCCAUUGACCUGAUUCAGAUAAUGCUGACGUAGGAAUAAAAAAUUAUUUAGUU
rnacentral:ncRNA from 1 species